AUAACAAUACAGGACUCUUUCGAGGCCCUGUAAUUGUAAUGAGUCCACUUUAAAUCCUUUAACUAGGAUCAAUUGGAGGGCAAGUCUGGUGCAGAGCGACUGACCCGUGCGUGCUGCAGCUGAAA